rnacentral:rRNA from 1 species
UACGUAGGGUGCAAGGCGUUAAUCGGAAUUACUGGGCGUAAGCGUGCGCAGGCGGUGAGCUGUGUCCGAUGUGAAAGCCCCGGGCUUAACCUGGGAAUGGCAUUGGAAACUGGCUCGCUGGAGUGGUGGCAGAGGGGGUGGAAUUCCGCGUGUAGCAGUGAAAUGCGUAGAGAUGCGGAGGAACACCGAUGGCGAAGGCAGCCCCCUGGGCUAACACUGACGCUCAGGCACGAAAGCGUGGGGAGCAAACAGG